AUUGAACGCUGGCGGCAUGCUUUACACAUGCAAGUCGAACGGCAGCGCGGGGCAACCUGGCGGCGAGUGGCGAACGGGUGAGUAAUAUAUCGGAACGUACCCAAGAGUGGGGGAUAACGUAGCGAAAGGUACGCUAAUACCGCAUACGAUCUAAGGAUGAAAGUGGGGGAUCGCAAGACCUCAUGCUCCUGGAGCGGCCGAUAUCUGAUUAGCUAGUUGGUGAGGUAAAGGCUCACCAAGGCGACGAUCAGUAGCUGGUCUGAGAGGACGACCAGCCACACUGGAACUGAGACACGGUCCAGACUCCUACGGGAGGCAGCAGUGGGGAAUUUUGGACAAUGGGCGCAAGCCUGAUCCAGCAAUGCCGCGUGAGUGAAGAAGGCCUUCGGGUUGUAAAGCUCUUUUGUCAGGGAAGAAACGGUAGAGGCUAAUAUCCUUUGCUAAUGACGGUACCUGAAGAAUAAGCACCGGCUAACUACGUG
rnacentral:rRNA from 1 species